rnacentral:rRNA from 1 species
AUUGAACGCUGGCGGCAGGCCUAACACAUGCAAGUCGAACGAGUGGCGGACUGGUGAGUAAUUUCUGGGAAACUGCCUGAUGGAGGGGGAUAACUACUGGAAACGGUAGCUAAUACCGCAUACCAUCGGAUGUGCCCAGAUGGGAUUAGCUAGUAGGUGGGGUAAAGGCGAACCUAGGCGACGAUCCCUAGCUGGUCUGAGAGGAUGACAAGCCAAACUGGAACGGAGACACGGUCCAGACUGCUACGGGAGGCAGCAGUGGGGAAUAUUGCACAAUGGGCGCAAGCCUGAUGCAGCAAUGCCGAGGGUAUGAAGAAGGCCUUCGGGUUGUAAAGUACUUUCAUCGGGGAGGCGUUACCCGAAGAAGAAGAAACGGCUAACUACGUGCCAGCAGCCGCGGUAAUUC